ensembl:lncRNA
ACAAGUACUACAUCUUUUCCUGCAGAGAAAUGCCAUCUCUGAAAGGCUUCCAUUUGAUUAAUAUUUAUAAUGGAAGUCUGACUCUCUUUUUUUUUUUCUCUUCUCCACAGGCUGUUUUAUUGUCAGAUGGUCACCUCUCUAAUUUGGGGGUUGAAAAUGAUGGUCUUGGCUGUGGCACUUUGCCAGCACAGGCAGUUCCUCUGAUGUCUCUGAAGUCCCCACGAGAGCUGGUGGUCGAUGUUCGAGGUUUCACACCACUUGACACACAUGCAAGUCUCAGCUCGAUCCCCUUCCCCUCGCGCCACCAUUGGUAACGUUCAAAACCUCACAGGUUGUAAUAGCAAUGCUUUUGCUUUCUUCUCUCUAUACUGUCAUUGCUAUAUUCAGCUACAGAAAAGCGUCUCGACCCACUUCAAAUAGCCGUUGUGUUCAAUUUCCACCUCUCCAAAACAAACCAGAGGCGGCUUUUCAAGCCAUAUGUCAGCAGUAUGAGAGGACGGCUUUUAUGUGUUGAAAGCAGUUUAAUAUUUUGUGAAGGCUUACUGCUGCUGCGGACCAGCUGAAUGACAGUCUGACAAUACACUCCCAUCCAUUCUGCUUCUCAGAUCAAGCGCUCGCAGCAGCAACCCUGAGACACAUUCACUCGCUCGCCCGCCCGCUCUCGGCAGGGUGAGAGGGCGACGUGGCCACCCUGACAGAGGGAGCGAGAAUGAAAGUGCAAGACAGAGAAGGAGUGAGAUGUAGAGGUAAUGCAGAGGUUUUC